AGCCUUGUGGUGUAAAACAUAUUGGAUUGCAAAUCCAAAGUCGUGGAUUAAUACCCGCCGGGGCUU
rnacentral:tRNA from 1 species